rnacentral:rRNA from 1 species
UACGAACUGUGCAACCGUUAUUCGGAAUUACUGGGCGUAAAGUGUGCGCAGGUGGCUGAGCAAGUCGAGUGUGAAAUCCCCGGGCUUAACUUGGGAAUUGCGCUCGAAACUACUUGGCUCGAGUGUGGCAGAGGAAGGUGGAAUUCCAGGUGUAGCGGUGAAAUGCGUAGAGAUCUGGAGGAACACCGAUGGCGAAGGCAGCCUUCUGGGCCAACACUGACGCUCAUGCACGAAAGCGUGGGGAGCAAACAGG